GACGAACGCUGGCGGCGUGCUUAACACAUGCAAGUCGAACGGAAAGGCCCUGCUUUUGUGGGGUGCUCGAGUGGCGAACGGGUGAGUAACACGUGAGUAACCUGCCCUUGACUUUGGGAUAACUUCAGGAAACUGGGGCUAAUACCGGAUAGGAGCUCCUGCUGCAUGGUGGGGGUUGGAAAGUUUCGGCGGUUGGGGAUGGACUCGCGGCUGAUCAGCUUGUUGGUGGGGUAGUGGCUUACCAAGGCUUUGACGGGUAGCCGGCCUGAGAGGGUGACCGGCGACAUUGGGACUGAGAUACGGCCCAGACUCCUACGGGAGGCAGCAGUGGGGAAUAUUGCACAAUGGGCGGAAGCCUGAUGCAGCAACGCCGCGUGCGGGAUGACGGCCUUCGGGUUGUAAACCGCUUUCGCCUGUGACGAAGCGUGAGUGACGGUAAUGGGUAAAGAAGCACCGGCUAACUACGUG
rnacentral:rRNA from 1 species